rnacentral:rRNA from 1 species
CCUACGGGAGGCAGCAGUGAGGAAUAUUGGUCAAUGGGCGAGAGCCUGAACCAGCCAAGUCGCGUGAAGGAUGACGGCCCUACGGGUUGUAAACUUCUUUUGUCAGGGAGCAAUUGAGUCCACGUGUGGGCUUAGCGAGAGUACCUGAAGAAAAAGCAUCGGCUAACUCCGUGCCAGCAGCCGCGGUAAUACGGGGGAUGCGAGCGUUAUCCGGAUUUAUUGGGUUUAAAGGGUGCGUAGGCGGAAUAUCAAGUCAGCGGUAAAAAUUCGGGGCUCAACCCCGUCGUGCCGUUGAAACUGAUGUUCGUGGGUGGGCGAGAAGUAUGCGGAAUGCGUGGUGUAGCGGUGAAAUGCAUAGAUAUUGGGAAGAACACCAGCGGCGAAGGCGAUUCACUGGACUGUAACUGACACUGAGGCACGAAAGCGUGGGGAGCAAACAGGAUUAGAUACCCCUGUAGUC